GCUCAGUGGUUAGCGAAUCUGACUAGUAACCAUGAGGCUGCAGGUUCAAUCCCUGGCCUCGCUCAGUGGGUUAAGGAUCCGGUGUUGCCGUGAGCUAUGGUGGAGGUCACAGAUGCGUCUCGGAUCUGGCGUGGCUGUAGCUGUGGUGUGGGCAGGCAACUGCAGCUCCAAUUAGACUCCUAGCCUGGGAACCUCCAUAUGCUGCAGGUGCGGCCCUAGAAAAGACAAGACAAAAAAAAAAAAAAAAAUUGGGGCUUUACUGUUUUUUGGAAACCAGAAUGCUUUCUCUUUAAUGGGGGUGGGGAAAGUCUCCAUUUUAGCACGUGACACCAAGGCCCUUCCUCAGAGAGACGAUCAGAGCUCACUCUUGAGAGAGCUUAUUACCCACAAACCAGCCACACAUAAGACACAGGAGGAGAAUUCCAAAACUAAGGAAGAGGGUAAUGACGGGCUUCCUGCCAACGGUGUACAGACUGGAAUGAGCCUCGGAGAUGCUGUGCUGCAAGCCAACACUGGCAGGUCCAGUGACCAGGUAAGCCUUUGUGGGGGCUGGAGCAGAGCAGGAUGGAGGAGCCCUGCCACAGUUUAGAAAAGUACCUGGGGAGUUCCUGUCAUGGCUCAGCAGAAAUGAAUUUGACUAGUAUCCGUGCGGACGCAGGUUCGAUCCCUGGCCUCGCUCCGUGAGUUAAGGAUCUGGCGUUGCUGUGAGCUGUGGUGUAGGCUGCAGAUGUAGCUUGGAUCUGGCAUUGCUGUGGCUGUGGUGUAGGCCGAUGGCUACAGCUCCUAUUCCACCCCUAGCCUGGGAACUUCCAUAUGCCUUGGGUGCACCCCCACCCCCCAGAAAGAAAAGCACCUGGCAGUAAAAAUACUGGCACAAACACAAUUAUUGCCUGUACCAUUUCUGUGUGACUCUUGGAACGCAGCAGUUCCCCAAAAAGGUUAGACCCAGAUCAAAAGGAAGGGAGCGGAAAGGGGAAGAAACCUUCACCGAGGGUUUCUGGCCACACUUCAGACCAGCAGUUCGUCCUCCUACCAAGAACCCUCUCUCUCCAACUCGGGUGUUCACGAGCUUCAGGACACCAGCAUUCUCUUUCCUCUCACUAAUGAACUGUAUCGAGAGCAAACCUCUAACAACAAUCAUUGAAAAGGAAAGUGAUAUUCAAUUUUAAAACACUUCUAAUUAAAUCUGCAUUUUUUGGACAGUUUUAUUGACAUUACACAACAAUUCCUGCUCAGCUCACUGAAAUACGUGCCUCUCUUUAGAGGAUACACCUUUCGAGAGGGAGUAUUCCAAGUCUGCUUUAAAAAAA
rnacentral:lncRNA from 1 species